UACGUAGGCAGCGAGCGUUGUUCGGAAUUACUGGGCGUAAAGGGCUCGUAGGCGGCCAACUAAGUCAGACGUGAAAUCCCUCGGCUUAACCGGGGAACUGCGUCUGAUACUGGAUGGCUUGAGGUUGGGAGAGGGAUGCGGAAUUCCAGGUGUAGAGGUGAAAUUCGUAGAUAUUGGGAAGAACACCGGUGGCGAAGGCGGCUAUCUGGACCGACAUUGACGCUGAGGCGCGAAAGCGUGGGGGAGCAAACAGG
rnacentral:rRNA from 1 species